GGUGGGACUGGGGAGUACGGAUGGCGCGUGAGCUUUUGCUCUUGCGGGCUGGCUGGUGUGCAGCUCUGUGUGAGGCUCUGAUUUGCAUCUGGUCUGGGGACUCCCGUACUGGGGGUGAUAUGAGCCAGGACCCUUUCUACACCAGCCCGAUGGGUUGUUCGGUGUGUCCUGCGCAGUACCAAUCGCUGUCUGUGUCUCAGCGGACGAGGAGACCUAGCAAGGGUCACACUUCUGUUUGAAGAGGAGCUGGGCCCCAGGACUCCAAGCCCAGUGCUCUUGCCUCGGUGCCCACCUGGAGCGUGAAGGAGGCUUUUCUUCCUCACACACCUGGGCCCUCUGCCUCAGGGCCUUUGCAUGGACCACUCCUUCCAGAACCUUCACGAGGGCCAUGCUGUUGGAGAGUUUGGAUGUCCAAGAUCACCUUGUGCCAGGCUGGCUGCUUCCACUUGCUGCCGUGUUAAACACAUGCUAAGUACUUGAUACGUGUCUGUCCUUUGA